ensembl:lncRNA
AUUAAGCUCGUGCAAAUGUGCUUGCAGGUGGUCCAGCAUGUGCGAAAUAAACGUCUGCAAGCAGUCCUGCACAUGUCAAAUUAACAUGCUAAUUUAGCCGUUCUUUAAUGUUCUUUUACCAUCCAAUUUCCCUAGGUCCUCCUUUCAACCAGAUUUCACAGUUUGAAGGAACUUCCUUUUCCACUACUAGCAGAGUAUGAACCUUCACAAGAUAAUGAUUUUGUCUUUGAAAAUUGUUGUUACUGAAUCAUAAUGUUUAUCAGCUAGUUUGCAGUGGAAAGAUCUGUUUCUCAUCACUGGCUAUAAAAUUCGGCUAACAAUCAAGCACCAGGAUCAGCCGUGCUUAGCAUAAACUAAGUCAGAUACUGGCUAGCUAAUUUAGCUAACGUAGGUAGCCUCGAACCCCGGCCAUAUUAUAUUAUAGUUAGCCUCUGCCCGGCCAUACUGCUAACCGCAGUGAACGGCGCCAUCUUGUGUUUUAUUAAAAGCUCUGAUGAAAAAACAUCAACUACAACAGCCAUGGGAACACAUUGGACUAUGUUAACACAAUCGAGGUAAAUUACAUGCUAGAAAGAUUGUUGCUUGAAUGCAGGGCCAGGCAUAUAUAGAUUAGACAACAGAGAUACUCCAAAAACACCCUACUCAUAAUCCUGGUAGUUGUUGAUUUUUGUACUAUGUUGUCUCUAUUUUGCUUUAUCAUAGACUAAAGGAAGACAAGCUACCUAAAUGUGACUUAUCGGCCAGCAUUGAAGGACAUGUUUUUGAGUUAAGUUUUUAGCCCAAAACCUUGCAUUUAAGCAAAACAACAGCUGAAGGUAGGCAACUUCUUCAGCCUGACUGGCUGUCAUUUCAAUGCUAGCGUUAGCUGCGCUAGCUCACGAUUAGCAUGAAGACACUGAAAAGCUCACAUAAAACAAAUUUGUCCAGUGACAACCUUGUAAAACCUUUGUUAACAUCUACAACAUAUCCGUUUUCGAACAGAAUAGACUUUAAUGUGGACGUUCACUUCGUUUUUUGAAUAUUUACAUUCCAUCAAUGCCUAUUAGGGUAAAAUAACAACUUCAGGCAUAUACCCAGUACUAUAUAGUACUGCAACAAAGGAAUAGGGUUCCUUCUGCUUUAUUUUCACACAAUUGUGUCUUGCAGAAGGGAGCCAUGAAGAGGAGCUUGGAGUGGGCAAGGGAGAGGCUGAUAAAGCAGUAGAGAAGACCUGAUUCAUCAAGUAUCACGGUUAAUUCUGGUGAUUCUGACCUGGUUGGAAUGCGCAACACGGCAAGACACUUCAAUCCGACACUCUUGUUAAUGUUUGACGUCAGGCAAAACGUCUUCAGCCACCGUAGGGUGGAGAGCCGCUGGUUGGCAUUUUUGACAGCGGUGUCUGUGUGGGUGUACCAGGAAAGGACGUUUGAAGUUAGGUCCCCAUGAUAUCAAAGCUCCUUACCAUCUUCACUGCAGCCCAGUCGAUAUCGAUUUUAAAAACUGGAACAAUAGAUAUCGUGUUGCACAUGGCAGCAAAAAUUCACUUGCCCAACUCCAGUUUGCCUAUUGUCCCAACACAUUUGUCAAUUAUGCAUUUUUACCUACGUCAGAGCGUGGUUUCUUUUAUAGCUCUGCUUUCAACACCAUCCUGACCCACAAACUGGUUAGCAGACUCAGGCCUCUGAGUGUAAACCCUGUAAAACGAAUUACAUUUUUUACAUUAUCACAAGAAUGUCUAUCCCCAUAAUGGACACAACACCUAAACAUGAUGACGACAAUACCAUGGUACCACCUGAUCACGAGUACAUGAAGGUGCUGUGGGAUCUGACAUAAUGGUGAUAGAACAACAGCCUCAGCCUAAGCAAAACAAAGUAGAUGGUGAGACUUGACCAUUCUCCCAUCUACUGUACAUUGACAUGGAGAUGAACAGCAGCUUCAAGUUCCUGGGCACCCUGAUAUCCAUUUCUGCCCUCAGUCACUUCACUCAAAGUCCCACCAGUACACCUCCACUUUCCUCAUCAACUUGCUGCACCACAACCUAUGUUCCAACUACAGUGUCUUUUAUUGCCAUAACACAUGUAAAUGAAAUGUUGUCCAUAUUUACUGUAAGAUUUAUUUAUGGUAACAUUGAACAUAUUGUAACAUUAUAGUCAGUUGACAUACAUGACUAUAACUACUAUUAACUACUAUUAACUACUUAGCAUAAUGCUCCGUUUACCCACUCUACUAAGAAAUCAUACAUUUAUUAAAAUAUUAAAGCUGCAUUAUGUA